GGUCUGGUGGUCUAGUGGUAUGAUUCUCGCUUAGGGAUAACCUUAAGAAACAAUAUGCGAGAGGUCCCGGGUUCAAUCCCCGGCCAGACCC